CCUCAAUACAUUUAAUGCUACAAACCUCAAACUUCCACAUUCAUCGACCUCAAAUUCAAGAGAGUAUUGGUCAACGCUACCAAGAUGUAAACAUCAUACUGACUUUAACAUCGGCAACUACAUAGUCGCCGGAUUUUCCCAGCGCAACCGCCCGCCGCGGACCGGUGGUGGAGCCUCGUGGCAUGCCGUGGGAGAGUCAUCACAUCUUAAUUUAGUCAUAUUACAGCUGCUUAUGUACCUAGGUCCUAGAGAGCAUCAGAAUUUACAGCUUAGAGCACAGUAAUUAAACUAAAGCUAAGAUAACAGAAAAUGCUUUUAUUUCACGAGUUAUUUUUACACUAUAAUUAUUCAAUAUUUUACAUCAUUUUUGUCUGAUGAAAUAUUUUAGCAGCAACAAUGAAGUUAAUCAAGUAAGCCCUCCAGCAAAAGUGCUAACAAAUAAUAAAUGUCUUGCAAGUUCUUAUCCACAAAAUUCAGAUUUCUUAAUGAACAUACCAAUUGAAGAAGUUCAAAGUCGACCUUGAACAGCAUCUUUAUGGCAUCAUUGGCGGACAAUUGUUGGUCGGAUAUGGAACUGCAAAUCAUCUGCUCCAGAGAGAAAGCAGA
rnacentral:lncRNA from 1 species